ACAUAUUCUUCUCUUAGAGCUUUUGGAUGCCUUACUUUUGCAUCUACUCUACUUCAAGGAAGAACCAAACUGUGUCCUGGAGCAGAAUCAUGUGUAUUUAGUGUAUCUCUUUGAGAAAAAAGGAUACAAACUAAUGAGUCUGAAAACUCAAAAAAAAAUUGUGUCUAGAAAUGUGGUUUUUCAUGAGAAUAUAUUUCCUUAUUCACAAAAACAGACUAUUACUCCUUUCUUUACUCAGCCCACUGAUCCUAAUCCUAUGAAUCAAGAGUCAUUUUGCCCUUCUAACUAAUCUUCCUUUCACCAGCAACACUCUCAAAUUACAUCUUCCACCUCUAUCAAUGAUCCUAUGUCUAGUCCAUUCAAAUCUAAUCCAUCAGAUUCAAAUUAUCCUAUGUCAAGUCCACUCACAUUAAAUCCACCAAAUUCAAGUUCUAGUCCUACUUCACUUAUUCCAUCCUAUACCCCUAUCCCAACUGCCUCACCUUCAAUGCCUUCUUCAUCUCAUUCUUCUCUAACUGCUCUAUCUAAUCAGCCCAUUCCUCUUCCCAAUCCCUUUAUUCUCAGAUAAUCUACUAGAGCCACUAAAACUCCAUCUUAUUUAGAUGAUUAUGUUUGUGAGACUAUUCACUUGGCAGAUGUCUCUACUAUAUGUUUCCUCUCAUUAUAUCUCCUCCCUCUUUAUCAUUCACCUCUCUUUCUUCUUCAAGUAAACAUUUUCUUAACUGCCUCUCACACGUUCAAUAAUCAACCAGUUUCUCUCAAGCUAGCCUACACCCUGAAUGGAAAGAAGCCAUGUGUAAAGAAAUUGAUGCUCUCAUACUCAAAAAAACUGGGGAUGUUAUUCAUUUACCUCAAGGGAAAAAGGCACUGCCUUGCAAAUAGUAGUACAAAGUUAAACUCAAAUCUAACAGAACUGUUGAGAGACUUAAAGCAAGAUUGGUUAUAAGGAGGGAUAUCAAAAGAGAAGGCAUUGAUUUUAAUGCAACUUUUAGUCCUGUUGUUAAAAUGACAACCAUAAGAUGUUUGUUAGCUAUGGCAGUCAAGAGAAAAUGGGGUUUGUUCCAAUUAAAUGUUGACAAUGCAUUUUUACAUGGAAACUUGAUAAAGAAGUAUUUAUGAAAUUCCCUCCUGAUGUGGAAGUUUCUGAUUCUAGCCUAGUGUGCAAAUUGAAUAACUCUUUAUAUGGCUUAAGACAAGCUUCAAGUCAAUGGUAUGCUAGAUUGACAUCAGCUCUCAGUUUUAAAGGAAAUGAUUUGAAUGAAAUACAUUCCAUUAAAGACUUUUUGGAUUUGGAAUUCAAGAUUCAAGACUUGGGGAACUUCCAUUAUUUCUUGGGCAUAGAAGUACUUCGAGAACAUCAAGUCUGAUUCUCAGUCAAAGAAAAUUUGCUAUGGAACUUUUACGGGAGUUUGAUUGUUUGAAUCUUCGACCAAAUUCUUCUCCAUUGGAUCCAUCUAAGAAAUUACAGUAAAAAAAGGGGAAGUUAUUAAAAGAUCCUACUAUUUAUCGCAGAUUAAUUGGAAAGUUAAACUUUUUAACACAAA